rnacentral:misc_RNA from 1 species
UAAUCUCACCUCCACAACUUUUUGUGGUCGUGGACCUGGAUGUCGUCGGCUCGCGUCGACCCGUCUGAAAUGUAUGAGUGUAUCCUGCCGUGCAGCGUAUCUGAUGUGAUAAGCAUCUUCAUCAGAGUAAUGCCUCCUUUGGCGCGUCUGUGGUGUGGGCUCUGCGCUUCCAACCGUCCGAAAGGACAAUCCUUGACG